CCUACGGGUGGCUGCAGUGAGGAAUAUUGGUCAAUGGCCGUAAGGCUGAACCAGCCAAGUCGCGUGAAGGAAGAAGGAUCUAUGGUUUGUAAACUUCUUUUAUAGGGGAAUAAAGGUAUCCACGUGUGGAUAUUUGCAUGUACCCUAUGAAUAAGCAUCGGCUAACUCCGUGCCAGCAGCCGCGGUAAUACGGAGGAUGCGAGCGUUAUCCGGAUUUAUUGGGUUUAAAGGGUGCGUAGGCGGUCCGUUAAGUCAGCGGUAAAAUUGCGGGGCUCAACCCCGUCGAGCCGUUGAAACUGGCAGACUUGAGUUGGCGAGAAGUACGCGGAAUGCGCGGUGUAGCGGUGAAAUGCAUAGAUAUCGCGCAGAACUCCGAUUGCGAAGGCAGCGUACCGGCGCCAGACUGACGCUGAGGCACGAAAGCGUGGGGAUCGAACAGGAUUAGAUACCCCUGUAGUC
rnacentral:rRNA from 1 species